rnacentral:lncRNA from 1 species
CGCUCACCUGACUCUACUUGGGUUUUUGAAGUCCUAUAAAAACAGAUAAAAUUUGACUACAAAGUAACAACACUUGGCCAGCACCUCAUAAGGAAAGGACUAUUCAUGCUAUGUUUGAUUUCAUUCAAUUCCUUGGUUCUCUAGAAGAAGACUUUUGUAUGCAUUUCCCAUAGGGUCCUAUGUUAAACUAAGCCCCCGCUGGCAGCCAUCUUGGAUGAUGGAUCGGAGACAAAGUAACAACAGUUGGUCAGCAUCUCAUAAGGAAUAUUCAUGCAAUGUUUGGUUUCAUUCCAUUCAGUGGUUCUCUAAAAGAUGUCAUUUGUAUGCAUUUCCCAUAGGGUCCUAUGUUAAACUAAGUCCCCCGCUGGCGGCCAUCCUGGAUGAUGGAUCAGCUACAAAGUAACAACACUUGGUCAGCACCUCAUAAGGAACAUUUAUGCCAUGUUUGGUUUCAUUCCAUUCAGUGGUUCUCUAGAAGAAGUCAUUUGUAUGAAUUUCCCAUAGGGUCCUAUGUUAAACUAAGUCCCC